rnacentral:rRNA from 1 species
AAUUUUUGACAAUGGGCGCAGGCCUGAUCCAGCCAUGCCGCUUGAGUGAAGAAGGCCUNCGGGUUNUNAAGCUCUUUCGGAAGGANAGAAAUCGCGCAGGCUAAUACCCUUCGCGGAUGACGGUACCGUCAUAAGAAGCCCCGGCUAACUACGUCCCAGCAGCCGCGGUAAAACGUAGGGUGCGAGCGUUAAUCGGAAUUACUGGGCGUAAAGCGUGAGACGGCAGUUGAUUAAGACAGUCGUGAAACCCCCGGGCUUAACCUGGGAACUGCGGUUGUGGCCGGUCAGCUAGAGUACGGCAGAGGGGGGUGGAAUUCCACGUGUAGCAGUGAAAUACGUAGAGAUGUGGAGGAACACCGAUGGCGAAGGCAGCCCCCUGGGCCGAUACUGACGCUCAUGCACGAAAGCGUGGGUAGCAAACAGG